UCCAUUGCUUACAAUAUUUCUUCUAUGAGAAACUAUACUAAAUAAUAUUUAAUUACAUAUUUUUUUAAUAUUCUAAUUCGAUUUCUACAAUUUAUGGUGAUUUUUCAAAGUUAGUCUACUACUACUGUCCAAACUGUUUUUGUGCAAGCUAUUAAUUACCAUGUUAUAACACCCUUAUUUUCUUUUUCUACACCAUUUCUCAUCACUUUCUCUUAUUUUCUCUUCACUAACAUAUCAGAAACAUAGGACCUUAU
rnacentral:lncRNA from 1 species